rnacentral:rRNA from 1 species
AUUGAACGCUGGCGGCAUGCCUUACACAUGCAAGUCGAACGGCAGCACGGGUGCUUGCACCUGGUGGCGAGUGGUGAACGGGUGAGUAAUACAUCGGAACAUGUCCUGUAGUGGGGGAUAGCCCGGCGAAAGCCGGAUUAAUACCGCAUACGAUCUACGGAUGAAAGCGGGGGACCUUCGGGCCUCGCGCUAUCGGGUUGGCCGAUGGCUGAUUAGCUAGUUGGUGGGGUAAAGGCCUACCAAGGCGACGAUCAGUAGCUGGUCUGAGAGGACGACCAGCCACACUGGGACUGAGACACGGCCCAGACUCCUACGGGAGGCAGCAGUGGGGAAUUUUGGACAAUGGGCGAAAGCCUGAUCCAGCAAUGCCGCGUGUGUGAAGAAGGCCUUCGGGUUGUAAAGCACUUUUGUCCGGAAAGAAAUCCUUGGCCCUAAUACGGUCGGGGGAUGACGGUACCGGAAGAAUAAGCACCGGCUAACUACGUG